rnacentral:rRNA from 1 species
UACGGAGGGUGCAAGCGUUGUCCGGAUUUAUUGGGUUUAAAGGGUGCGUAGGCGGCUUAUUAAGUCAGGGGUGAAAGACUAUUGCUUAACAAUGGCAGUGCCUUUGAUACUGAUAGGCUUGAGUACAGCUGAGGCAGAUGGAACGGGUGGUGUAGCGGUGAAAUGCAUAGAUACCAUCCAGAACACCGAUUGCGAAGGCAGUCUGCUAAACUGUAACUGACGCUGAGGCGCGAAGGCUAGGGGAGCAAACAGG